UAGUCUCAUCAAAUUAGGUUACAUAGUAAUCUUCCUAUGUUCCAUGCGAUGCAAAAUUCACUGUUAACUGUUGAACAUUGGUGUGGGAAUUAGAGAUCAUUUCUUCCAUUUUAUUUUUUGAGAAAAAUAUACCAUAUUUCUUUUAAUUUUUCUUGUCAUGUAACCCACGCUGCUAAAGGCUUGUAUCAAAUUCGUGUGAACUAUCUUUUUUGUAUAUAUGUAUUUCUGUCUAGUUAGCUUAAGCUGUAUAGUUUGAAGGAUAGGAAUAAAAGGAAGGGAAAUUUAUAUUACUAACUAGUACCAACCUCUUGAACAAAUAACCUAGUUAAGUAAACAAACAAAUUAAUUAAUGGAGCUGAAUUGUUUGUUUACUUGUUAGUAUUGGUUAUUAUAUUGAUCCAUUUAUCCAAAAUAUAUGUGUAGUAAUAUUGGACAUAAGGAAGAAAGCUUAAGGUUUUGUGAAAUUUGACCAUUUCAUCCUUAUAAUUUUGACCAAUGUUGUCAUCCUCUUGUUUCAUUAGCCCAAUUUAUGUGAAGAAAAUAAUAAUGACAUUCGCAAUACUCAUAUCUUGAUUUUGGUAUGAUUUUGUUUGACCUUUGUUGCUGUGACUAGUGUUUAUUGUAAAUUAUUGAUAGGGAGACUUGAUUGUUUAGGAUAGGGAAGAUGGUGAAUGCAUUAAGUCUUUUUGAGAAGGAUUUUCUCAAGGAAAAUGGAGAUAAAUAUAAGAAAAUAAGGUUGAAACAUAGAAUAAAAUAUGAACUGAAGGCGUGGGAAGAGUUGCUAGAGGCUGAAAAGGCCAAAUAUAUUGAGAAGGCUAGGCAAUUAAAAACUGAUAGACAUGCUGGAAAAAAUAAAUACAAGGUUCCUUUUCACACGAGGUGCUCUGUGAGGUAGUUUAUAGAGCUUGUAGAGUUUGUGAAAGAGAAUGAGAACCUAAGAAUGAGGGUAGAAAACAUCAAGUUUAGGGUGCUGCUUGAUAUCCAAUAGAAAACAUUCCUUCGAGACCUCUACUACUAAUUAAUAUCUUCAUAUGAUCUACCUACCCUUCAAUUUCGCAUUAGAGGAAAGUCAAAAGAAAUGAAAGUAGAAGAUGUUCACACAUUGAUGGGAUUACCCUUUGGAGGGGAUAGGGUGUUAAUAGAGGUGGAUGAUUAAGAGGAAGCAUUCUUGAGGUUAAGGGAAAAAUAUUACAAAAUGCCAUAUAAUAAGAUAUUGGCAUUGAUUAAAUUUGGAGCAGAGGAUGAGAGCUUUGAGUUUUGAUUUUUGUUGUACACAUUGAGAAUACUUUUAUGUCCGAGUGUUAGUGCUAACGUUAGUGAGUGGACAAUUAAGGUAAUGUAUUGCACCAAGAAUGCAUUGAAAGACUUCAAUUGGUCAAUAUAUAUAUUAGAUGACUUGUGUGAUGAAUUGAAAGAGUAUUAUUUGAAACAAAUGAGGAAAAAGAAGGAUAUGACUGCAAACAUUGGAGGAUGCUUGUACUUUCUAGUGGUAUGUAUAGAUGAAUUUAUGGUAUUCUUUUCAUUGUAAUGCGUUCAUACUAAGUAUAAUGUGAUAAUUAUAUGUAUGUUCUUAUAGAUCUAUUUUUUUUGAGCAUUUCCCAUUGGUCAAAACAAGUGACCAUGAUUUAAAAAAUGCUGUCUUAUAUUGGAUCGAUAGCAAAGCGAAGGAAAGACUAUAAAAGGAGAGAGACAACAAUAUUGGGUUGCUUUAUGGUGCUUCUACAGGGGAGCCCACUUCCACCGUCACCAAGAAGAGACCGAUGACAUCAUAUCCAGACUCGAUAUUUAUUUCUCACUAUUUUGGACAAAAUUGCAUUUAAAACAAGUUUUUUUCUAUUUAUAUUUUGUAAAUGUGCAUAAAUUAAAGGACUUAUUUUCAACAAUGAUGAGGGUUAUUGAAGAAAACCACCAAAGAUCAAUUGCUUAUGUUGAAUCUGCGUUCAGAAAGGAGCAGACAGUAAGGGAAGCAUCUCAAAAAUCAAAAGGGGAAGGCAAGUCAAGUGUUGAAGUUGAGGAAGAAGAUGAUCGGGUGGGAUAUGGUAGUAAAGACAAGCUAGCCUUUGAGUUUCAAGAACAAGACAAGGCAAAUUUUAAGUUUAAAGAAGACGGAAAAGAAGAAGAUAGAGGUGAUGAAGAAGAAGAAUAUGGAGGAUACGAAGAAGAACAAGAAGAUAAAAGAGAAGACGAAGAAGAAGAUGAUGAUGAAAAGGAAGGUAGAGGUGAUAAAGGAGAAGGAGAAGGAGAAGAACAAACUGAUAACUUGUCAUCUCUAAUUCAUGUAUCUUCUUAAGAAGAGGACGAAAAGGAAAAAUCAGAUGAGGAAGUUAAGGAAGAUGAUGGUAAAUGACAACUUAGGAGAUCUAUAAGGACAAAAAUACCAACUCUUAGGUCUCCUUGAGUUCUAUCAAAGCCGGUGAAUAGGACAAAGAAGAAGAUUGAUGAAAAGCAACAAUUAUUUUCAAUUGUAUCACACAUGUGUAAAAGGGAGGAAGGUGACGAGAUCUUGGUUGAAAUGCAUGAUCAAUAUCUCACUCGUGAUGAACUUCGAUGUUUGGGAGGAAUGCAAUGGAUUAGUAACAGGGUGAGACAGUGUCUGAUUUUUUUUUAUAAUUUACACAUAGUAAUGUACAAAUAACAUGAACUCCUUGGUGGUUGUAGUUCAUGACUAUGCUAUGCCAUGCAUUAAUGGGUGAUAUCAAGGAUUCAGGUCCAGUCCGUCAUCAUAUAUUUGAUGCUGACUUCAUGUGUAAAAUGAUAUCAAAUCCCUCAUUUGGAAGGCAAUAAAGAAUAAGAGGGAUAUCCUACCUGAAUAUGUAGGAUACAAUAUAGCUGAAUGUGAUUUCAUCAUCGGUCCAGCUCUUGUGAACCAUCAUUGGAUGUGUUUGUGCUAAAGCUGAAGACAUUGAACUUCUAUGUCUUCGACUCAUUAAAGGAGGAUAGUGGUCUUGAACCAAGGAGAAAGAAAAGGAAAAAGGAUGGAGCUUUAUAUGUAAAAGGAUUAUUGGUGAAUGCACGUGUAUGGUCUAUUAAUCAACUCCUUGGUAUGUCUUGUGUGCAUGUUGUUUUGAUAAUAUAAAUUUGUUUCCUUUGUAGCAAAAUAGAUUCUUCGACAUCAUUAAGUUAGUAAACCCAAGCUUGAUUGGGAAGAAACUAAUAGCUGAUGUUAUUUGGCCUC